GAGGUUAUUAGGGUAGGCCCUAAUCUGACUGAUGUCCUUCUAAGAAGAGGAAAUUAGGACACAGAGACAGACACGUGGAAGAAAUGUCAUGUGAAGACAGUGAGAAGACAGCUGUCUAUAAACCAAGAAGAGAGGCUUCAGAAGAAACCCGCCCUGUGAACACUUUAAUCUCAGACUCCUAUUCUUCAGAACUGCUGGUUCUAGGACCAUAUUUGCAAAUCACUGCACCAAUUUCUGUGUUGUAGUUGGUUUUUGAGUCUCCAGCUUCACCUCUCAACUCCUGCCACUUUAUGGAACACCCUCAGUGCCCAGGGGUCUCUUGUCCUUGGUCCUGGUUCUCCCUGGGCUGCCUUGGUCUGCUUCCUCAACCAGGGUGAUGCAUUGAAUUGUGACACAUGGGGGUCAGUGAAAUUAACUAUCUUUCCCAUGAGAAAUAAUUUAUCAUUCAGCAUUUGCUAUUAAUGUGCCUCUGCUGCAAGUGAAUGAAGACGUAUAAAGUGUAUGGAAAUUGUAGAGCAGAUGAACACUGCAUAAAUAUCCUUUAAUGUUUAUGAUGAGUACAAUAAUUUUCUCAUCUGUAAAUGGGAGGGAUUUGGGCUGCAGAAAAAGAGACGUUGAUAAAUUUGGUUGCUGUAAAAAAAUGGCUGUAAUUUCUUCUAUAGAAGCUGUACCUCUUUGGGUCUAAUUUGAAUUUUGUUUUCUGCCUGUUUCAAGGAGGUCUUUUAAAACUUGUGAUUACUAUUGGAUAUGAUUGUGUCUGUAGAAAGACUUCCCAGCCUUCUUUAGAACUUAGGAGGUGCCUCUGUUCUCAGCAUAGGCAAUAUUAAUCUCAGCUCACAUUGUCUCUGGAUGGGAUUUCUGUUUGAGAAACAAGAACUAGAAUGGACAAGGUGAGCUUUAAUUAUUCAAAUUCAUCUAAAAAAUAUCUCCUGAAGGCUUAUUGAAAGCCAGAUACUGUGCUGGACAGUGAGCGAGGGAUACAAAAUUCAUGAGAAAGCCAGUGAUUCUCACUUAUCCAUCUUAGAAAGUGUACUUGAACCCAAGGGGGCAUGUACCAAAGUGUUCACUGAUGUAUUGUUAAUAAUAGUGAAAAUUCAGAAAUGACCUACAUGCCCAUCAUUAAGAGACUGGCAAAACCAAUUCUGAGAUAUUCAUACAAUGGAAAACCAUGCAUCAUUUGUAAAGAGGAAGGUAGAUCCACAAGUGGAAAGGUCUCCAAGACAUGAUGUUAGAGAAAAAAUAACUAUAUAAAGUGAUGCAUCCAGUAUGAUACUCUAUGUAAAUGCACAACACACACAAACACACAGUCACACAAAUACACACACUCUCUCUCUCUUUCUCUGUUAUUUAUUUUUUCCAUAAUCACUGUGAUGCAUAGCAAUGACCCUGGAACAAUACCCUCUGAUGUGGGUCCUCCCACUGCACAGUGGCAGGAAGUGUUAUUCACAUGGGUGAUGGGUUGUUUGGGACAGUCUGGCAGCCACAGCUGAUAGCCCCACACCAAUAUGAUGACUUUUGUUAACUUGGGGGCGUGAAGGGGGCCAGGAUUAAAGAUAGUCGCCAAAGGGAGUUUUAACUAUUAGCUACAAUGAUAUAAUUCUCAAAGGAGAUUAUAUUAAUGAAUUAAAUGUGUAUCAAAUAUUAAUUUUAAAAUGAGUAAUAUGUAAUUCCUGCAUUCUGGGUGCUAACAGUCCAGAGGAGAAAUAUGUACAUACUCAAGUAAUUCUGAUAUAAAACAUAGUGUGGCCAGUACUAGCCUUGAUAACCAUGUAUUAUGGCAAUAUGAAGGGGAGAG
rnacentral:lncRNA from 10 species